rnacentral:rRNA from 1 species
GACGAACGCUGGCGGCGCGCUUAACACAUGCAAGUCGAACGGAAAGGCCUGCUUUCCCUUGUGGAUUGCGGGUACUCGAGUGGCGAACGGGCGAGUAACACGUGAGUGAUCUGCCCCCAACUUGGGUAUAAGCCUGGGAAACUGGGUCUAAUUCCCGAUAGGACUGCAGGGUGGUGCCUGUGGUGGAAAACGAUUUUCUAGUGGUUGGGGAUGAGCUCGCGGCCUAUCAGCUUGUUGGUGGGGUAAUGGCCUACCAAGGCGGCGACGGGUAGCCGGCCUGAGAGGGUGGACGGCCACAUUGGGACUGAGAUACGGCCCAGACUCCUACGGGAGGCAGCAGUGGGGAAUAUUGCACAAUGGGCGGAAGCCUGAUGCAGCGACGCCGCGUGGGGGAUGACGGCCUUCGGGUUGUAAACUCCUUCCGACCGCGAGGAAGCCACCUGGUUGGAAGGGUGGUGACGGUAGUGGUAGAAGAAGCACCGGCUAACUACGUG